UACGUAGGGCGCAAGCGUUGUCCGGAAUUAUUGGGCGUAAAGAGCUCGUAGGCGGCUUGUCACGUCGAUUGUGAAAGCCCGAGGCUUAACCUCGGGUCUGCAGUCGAUACGGGCUAGCUAGAGUGUGGUAGGGGAGAUCGGAAUUCCUGGUGUGGCGGUGAAAUGCGCAGAUAUCAGGAGGAACACCGGUGGCGAAGGCGGAUCUCUGGGCCAUUACUGACGCUGAGGAGCGAAAGCGUGGGGAGCGAACAGG
rnacentral:rRNA from 1 species